CGGCGAGUGAAGCGGCAACAGCUCAAAUUUGAAAUCUGGCUCUUUCAGAGUCCGAGUUGUAAUUUGCAGAGGGCGCUUUGGCUUUGGCAGCGGUCCAAGUUCCUUGGAACAGGACGUCACAGAGGGUGAGAAUCCCGUACGUGUGUCGCUAGCUAUUGCCGUGUAAAGCCCCUUCGACGAGUCGAGUUGUUUGGGAAUGCAGCUCUAAAUGGGAGGUAAAUUUCUUCUAAAGCUAAAUAUUGGCCAGAGACCGAUAGCGCACAAGUAGAGUGAUCGAAAGAUGAAAAGCACUUUGGAAAGAGAGUCAAACAGCACGUGAAAUUGUUGAAAGGGAAGCGCUUGCAGCCAGACUUGCUUGCAGUUGCUCAUCCGGGCUUUUGCCCGGUGCACUCUUCUGCAGGCAGGCCAGCAUCAGUUUGGGCGGUGGGAUAAAGGUCUCUGUCAUGUACCUCUCUUCGGGGAGGCUUUAUAGGGGAGGCGACACUACCACCAGCCAGAAUAGCAGGAGGUCGCACACUCUGCUUAGGAAUUUGGUAAUGGCUUA
rnacentral:rRNA from 1 species